rnacentral:lncRNA from 1 species
AAUCUGUUCCAAAGCAGACUUAGACCCACUGAAGCUCAUGGGGACUUCCUGGGUCUUUGCUGUUGCUCUCCUAGGUCAUCAAAGCAAUACCACAUGGCAGUUUCCUACCGUGGAGCCUUUGAAGGAUGACAGAUCCAGGGAUGACAGAGCGACUUCAUCCACGAGGGAAGUCACCCCGCGGCCUUGAGGCCCCCAUCCCAGCAGAGACUGAUGGAGCGGGCCGGCGCUGGAGCAGCUGGGCUCGAGCACUGCCUGCCAUCUUCCCUAUCUUUAAUGGACACUGCAGGCUGAGCAGACACCCCAAGUUCCUGUGGGGCACCAGCUGGGCUCUUCCUCACCAAAGGUACCUCAGGGCACCUUGCAAAUAUGUUUGAUGUUUUUCCUUUCCCGUUGUUGAAGAGUGGCUGCAGAAGCAAGAGAAUAAGGUAGGGAGCUGCUGCUGCUGCUGCUAAGUCUCUUCAGUCGUGUCCAACUCUGUGGGACCCCAUAGACGGCAGCCCACCAGGCUCCUCCGUCCCUGGGAUUCUCCAGGCAAGAAUACUGGAGUGGGUUGCCAGUUCCUUCUCCAAGGGUAGGGAGAGGAGAUAAUAAUUACCAAGCUUUGUGGGUGUUUCUGUGAUGUGUGCCUAGGUCAUGUGUGUGUGUGUGUGUGUCUGUGUCUGUGUGUGUGUAACAGGAAGAAGGAGGGAGGAGAGGGAACAGGGAAAAGGGAGAGGGAGAGGAAGAUGGGAAGAAAAAGAGAGAAACCUAAAGAACCGUAGACCAAG